rnacentral:lncRNA from 1 species
AGUUGCCUGUCUCAGGGCAAGUUCUAAAAGCCCCCAAAAUAAACAAGUCUAAAAAUGUGUGUUUCUAGGUAGAUUCUUAAGGCAGCCGCUCAAUAUCCUAAGCUCUCCCUUUUUAAGUGUUCUUUCAGUUAUCUUGACUCUAUUAGAAAGAAAGCUUCCAUCAGAUACUCACCAGGACCAAUGAUCUUUAAACCCUGCUAAUCUGUCAUUAGGAAGGGAAAAUGCAUCUGGGGCUGGGAGCAGUUAAUUGGGACCAGGGGCCCAGAACUUGACUGUGGUGGAAAGGGACAAUUAUGGCAGGAACUGAAGUUGG